rnacentral:misc_RNA from 1 species
UUCUUCUUCUUUGAUCCAAUCGUUGAAUGACAUUACUGAUUCAUGUAUGGAACAGGGCUCGGUGCUGGUGCAACGCCUUCAGUUAGCUCCAUGGGUACAAACAACACCCAGCCCACAACCAGAAGAUUUGGGUCUUGAAUCAGAGCACUAUUCAAGCUCUGUAUGCCACUUACAGUAGAAUAUAGUCUACUAGCAAUAUCUGAAAUUGUGUCAUUCUGCUGAACAGUGUACGUUCCCACAACUUGGGACUCACUAUCUACACACCCACACAACAGAUGCAUAGGAACUCUACUUCCUGUCUUAAAUUUAUCUUUUUCAUCUCCAACCUCCCAAGCUUG